GUGAAUCAUCGAAUCUUUGAACGCACAUUGCGCCCGCCAGCAUUCUGGCGGGCAUGCCUGUCCGAGCGUCAUUUCAACCCUCAGGGAGCCCCUUCGCGGGGGGGACCUGGUGUUGGGGGCCGGCCGCCCGCGCCGCCCCCGAAAUGCAGUGGCGACCUCGCCGCAGCCUCCCCUGCGUAGUAGCACAACCUCGCACCGGAGCGCGGAGACGGUCACGCCGUAAAACGCCCAACUUUCAAGAGUUGACCUCGGAUCAGGUAGGAAUACCCGCUGAACUUAAGCAUAUCAAUAAGCGGAGGA
rnacentral:misc_RNA from 1 species